rnacentral:rRNA from 13 species
CAGCAGCCGCGGUAAUACGGAGGGGGUUAGCGUUGUUCGGAAUUACUGGGCGUAAAGCGCGCGUAGGCGGACUGGAAAGUUGGGGGUGAAAUCCCAGGGCUCAACCCUGGAACUGCCUCCAAAACUAUCAGUCUAGAGUUCGAGAGAGGUGAGUGGAAUUCCGAGUGUAGAGGUGAAAUUCGUAGAUAUUCGGAGGAACACCAGUGGCGAAGGCGGCUCACUGGCUCGAUACUGACGCUGAGGUGCGAAAGUGUGGGGAGCAAACAGGAUUAGAUA